UGGCCUGUUGUGGAGCACGUUGGCCCCUUGCAGAGUCCUGGAGGGAGUAUCUUAUGGAAUGGAAUAAGCACCGGAGCUAGACCAAAACAUUCAAGUUCUGAUUGGUGGUAUGAUGAUGCGUCAUCUUUAAGUUUACCUCUUUACAAAAGGCUAAUUUCUGCUAUGGAAUCUCAAGGUGUCAGACAGGAAAUAAUUGCCGGUUCCCUCACUUAUUAUGCUAAAAAGUAUUUGCCUGGGCUAAACAGGCGGCAAAGCUCUACCGAGUCUAGUAACCGCCUUGCACCACUCGGUUUAGGUUCCUCCGAUGCAUCAUCUUUAAGUUUACCUCUUUACAAAAGGCUAAUUUCUGCUAUGGAAUCUCAAGGUGUCAGACAGGAAAUAAUUGCCGGUUCCCUCACUUAUUAUGCUAAAAAGUAUUUGCCUGGGCUAAACAGGCGGCAAAGCUCUACCGAGUCUAGUAACC
rnacentral:lncRNA from 1 species